UACGUAGGGGGGCUAGCGUUGUCCGGAAUCAUUGGGCGUAAAGCGCGUGUAGGCGGUCCGGUAAGUCCGCUGUGAAAGUCGGGGGCUCAACCCUCGGAUGCCGGUGGAUACUGUCGGGCUUGAGUACGGAAGAGGCGAGUGGAAUUCCUGGUGUAGCGGUGAAAUGCGCAGAUAUCAGGAGGAACACCAAUUGCGAAGGCAGCUCGCUGGGACGUUACUGACGCUGAGACGCGAAAGCGUGGGGGAGCAAACAGG
rnacentral:rRNA from 1 species